AAGACAUGAAGUUAGGUCAGCAAACCCGCUGAAUUUAAGCAUAUAAGUAAGCGGAGGAAAAGAAACUAAAUAGGAUUCCCUCAGUAAUGGCGAAUGAACAGGGAUGAGCUCAGUAUGGAAAUUGGGGCCUGUGGCCUUGAAUUGUAGUCUGGAGAUGUACCACCAACUGGGGCGCAGAUGUAAGCCUCUUGGAAAAGAGCAUCAAUGAGGGUGAGAGUCCCGCUUGGCAUCUGCAGUCCCCAGUGCACGGUGUACCUUCUAAGAGUCACGUUCCUCGGGAUUGGAGCGCAAAUUGGGUGGUAAAUUUCAUCUAAAGCUAAAUAUUGUUUCGAGACCGAUAGCAAACAAGUACCAUGAGGGAAAGGUGAAAAGGACUUUGAAAAGAGAGUUAAAAGUGCCUGAAAUUGCUGAAAGGGAAGCGAAUGGAACCAGCGUAACUUGGUGAGAUUGCUGCGUAUCAAUGUGAUUGCUUGCUGCUUCAACGUAAGUGUGGUAGUAAGUCUUGAACAGGACAUGCGUGGUGUUUCUUGCCUUGUGUGUCACUGCCAGUUCACAGCUGGGGAAAACUUCAGGGGCAUGGUAGCCUGUCUCCGGGUGGGUGAACGUGUCUGCUGGAACUCAUUUGUGGACUGAUUGGUGACUAAAUGGUUCCAUCUGACCCGUCUUGAAACAC
rnacentral:rRNA from 1 species